rnacentral:rRNA from 1 species
GAAGAGUAACCUUCGAAAGAAUACUA